rnacentral:rRNA from 1 species
AUUGAACGCUGGCGGCAGGCCUAACACAUGCAAGUCGAACGGUAACAGAGAGUAGCUUGCUACUUUGCUGACGAGUGGCGGACGGGUGAGUAAUGUCUGGGGAUCUGCCUGAUGGAGGGGGAUAACUACUGGAAACGGUAGCUAAUACCGCAUAAUGUCGCAAGACCAAAGCGGGGGACUUUCGGGCCUCGCACCAUCAGAUGAACCCAGAUGGGAUUAGCUAGUAGGUAGGGUAAUGGCUUACCUAGGCGACGAUCCCUAGCUGGUCUGAGAGGAUGACCAGCCACACUGGAACUGAGACACGGUCCAGACUCCUACGGGAGGCAGCAGUGGGGAAUAUUGCACAAUGGGCGCAAGCCUGAUGCAGCCAUGCCGCGUGUAUGAAGAAGGCCUUCGGGUUGUAAAGUACUUUCAGUCAGGAGGAAGGGCGUGAAAUUAAUACUUUCAUGCAUUGACGUUACUGACAGAAGAAGCACCGGCUAACUCCGUGCCAGCCGCCGCUGUAA